GAUGAACGCUGGCGGUGUGCUUAACACAUGCAAGUCGAGCGAGAAGUUUUGAAAAGAUUCUUCGGAUGAAAUUUAAAAUGGAAAGCGGCGGACGGGUGAGUAACGCGUAGGCAACCUGCCCCAUACAAAGGGAUAGCAUUUGGAAACGAAUAUUAAUACCUUAUGAAACUUAACUAGUGCAUGCUAGGUAGGUCAAAGAUUUAUCGGUAUGGGAUGGGCCUGCGUCUGAUUAGCUAGUUGGUGAGGUAACGGCUCACCAAGGCGACGAUCAGUAGCCGACCUGAGAGGGUGAACGGCCACAUUGGAACUGAGACACGGUCCAAACUCCUACGGGAAGCAGCAGUGGGGAAUAUUGCACAAUGGGGGAAACCCUGAUGCAGCAACGCCGCGUGAACGAUGAAGGCCUUUGGGUCGUAAAGUUCUGUUCUAGGUGAUGAAAACUGACAGUAACCUAGGAGAAAGCCCCGGCUAACUCCGUG
rnacentral:rRNA from 1 species